CGACGACCACCACCACCAUUAAUAAGAGAUUAAUGAUUUUAAUAAUAGUGAUUAUGAUGUUAGAUGGGAAAACUGAUGAGCCAACAUGGGGCAUGUUCUAAUUUAUGAAGUAGGAAAGGUAGAGUUUUGGUAGGAGGAUGUUACAUGCCUCCAUUAAUUCAUCAAUUUCAAUUUUAUUAUGUGGAUUUAGCUUGUUUUCUUCAUCUUGAUGAUCCUACAUGUUAUUCAUAAUGUAUCGAGAUCAAAACUUAACUAUAAUGAUAUGGGAUCCUAGGAGAUAGCCAUCCCAUUGUAUUGUACAAGACUCAUCAAGCCUCCCGAUUGAAUCAAAAGAAAAACAAACGAUUAAAGGUUAUAAUAACAGUGCACAAUGAGAUAACUGGGAAGAAGAUGGUCUGGUCUGCCCAUGUUAUCUUAUUUCAAGAGAAAGAAAAGCCACCACAAAGCCCUACCAGCUGAAUAUUCUAUCUUGACAAGCAUCAGACUUCCACAGCUCUUGCAGCAUUUCUAGCCUUUCCACUGAAAAAGAAGAAAAGGAGCUUAACGUGCAAAGAGAAACUAAACGAUAGAGCAGAUCAAUUUGGAGAUAGUGCUGCUAAAAGUAAACUGCAAUUUGCUUCAACAUCGACAAUGACCCGGGAGAGACUGACCGACGAUAGACCACCUAAAGCACCUAAAAGAGGAGUGCAAAACAGGUAACAUCAGUGUCAGAUCAAUGAAACCCUAGUAUCUGAGCUUGCAAUCUUCUCCAUGCAGCUCUCAUCAUUCUGUAACUUUUAGAAAUCUUGUAGCAACUACGUAUUCAAGUUUAAACAAGAGGACGAACACCACUUACAAACACAAGGAGAUUUAACCA